GCACAAGCGGUGGAGCAUGUGGUUCAAUUCGAAGCAACGCGAAGAACCUUACCAGCUUUUGACAUCCCGGUCGCGAGCACCAGAGAUGGAGCUCUUCAGUUCGGCUGGACCGGAGACAGGUGCUGCAUGGCUGUCGUCAGCUCGUGUCGUGAGAUGUUGGGUUAAGUCCCGCAACGAGCGCAACCCUCGCCCUUAGUUGCCAUCAUUUAGUUGGGCACUCUAAGGAGACUGCCGGUGAUAAGCCGGAGGAAGGUGGGGAUGACGUCAAGUCCUCAUGGCCCUUACAGGCUGGGCUACACACGUGCUACAAUGGCGGUGACAGAGGGAUGCAAAGGAGCAAUCCUUAGCAAAUCUCAAAAAGCCGUCUCAGUUCGGAUUGUGCUCUGCAACUCGAGCACAUGAAGUUGGAAUCGCUAGUAAUCGCAGAUCAGCACGCUGCGGUGAAUACGUUCCCGGGC
rnacentral:rRNA from 1 species